UCCCUGUCGGCGAGGACAAACGGCAUCGUUGCGGGACGGAACCGACAAAAGGACCGCGUCGGCUUGUCGGCAUUUGGCUGUGAAUCAAACGGUGUUUGCAUUUCUCCGACACUAAGUGCGGUGCAUUGAGGGCGUGAGCGCCUCGCCUGAAUCACCUGCGAUGCCAUCGGUUGUGCAAGGACAGCGCUUCACCAGGCGGGCCGGACGCCUCAGAGUUACAAGAAGAGCAGACGCAGCAUAACCGAAGAAGGUAAUCUCUCCCC